UUGUCUAGUUACAGAAUAGUCCAAAAAACAAAAAAAUAAUCCAGUGAAAUGUCUGGGUUAUGCAUUUAACCCUGUUCCCUGAGAAGGGAACGAGAUGUCGCGUGAGCUUCACAAUGUGGGAAGUGCCCUCACCUGUGACCGGCAUCUGAAGCUUGUGUAACAUCAUGCUAUUUAUAGACAUGCCGUGAUCAGAUGACUUCGCAAUUAAGCACAUCGCGUGAUAUAAAAAUGGCACCUCUGAACCGCGCCGUCAGCGUCUAUUAUCUGAAGCGAAGACACAAUUCACAGGUAUGCCCCAGUAUGACAAAGCUACGCAAUGUCUUGUUUCCUUCUCAGGGAACAGGGUUAUGUAUGUAACCCAGACGUUCCUUUUCAAAGGGAACUCAACGUUGUGUGAGCUUCAUGCUGUGGGAACAAGAAUACCCAUUCCGUCAUACUUAGGGCAUGGCCUAUUCAAAAGAUCCGAACCUGAAGGUCAUUGCAAGAAACUCAGGCCGGGAUGGAAUGUAUAUCCAGGCUGUAAUAUCGAACGAAUGUGUGUGGCUUAGACCACCCUGCCACAGCACACACAUCCUGUAAAGGUAGCCCUUUGGACAAAGCAUUUGAGGAGGCGGCCCCCCCUAGUGGAAUAAGCGACCCCUAGAGAUUGCUUCCACUAUCCAUCUAUAGAUGCCCUGCUUCGACACAGCAUCACCUCUAUUGUCACCACCAAAGCAGACCAGCAGCAGUUCCAACUUAUGCCACUGUGGCCUUACAUGGCUUGGAAGGCAAAGCCACCCCACCAUAAAUUACCUGCCGUCAAUGGAGAGAGGUAGCAUGCAAGUGCCUCCUCCACUGUCAGCAUAUCUAAAUAGCUGUGCUGUUCACUCCCUAUGAUCGCCGAAUAAUUCGACGUUGUGGAGUUAUAAAUACGGCUAGUGUAUGGUUUUCCCCAGAAGCGUGAUAUUUCAUCAUGCACUUCUGGGGACAAAAGGGGAGUUUUCUGCAGUGUGAGGGAGAUUUAUUUUCACUGGGGAAAAAGCGCUUGUCCAGUCUGCUACGAGCCACUUCCUUUUCC
ensembl:lncRNA